rnacentral:rRNA from 1 species
CCUACGGGGGGCUGCAGUGGGGAAUAUUGGACAAUGGGCGCAAGCCUGAUCCAGCAAUGCCGCGUGUGUGAAGAAGGCCUGCGGGUUGUAAAGCACUUUCGGUGGGAAAGAAAAGCGCGGGGUUAAUACCCUCGUGCCUUGACGUUACCCACAGAAGAAGCACCGGCUAACUCCGUGCCAGCAGCCGCGGUAAUACGGAGGGUGCAAGCGUUAAUCGGAAUCACUGGGCGUAAAGCGCACGUAGGCGGCUUGGUCAGUCAGAUGUGAAAGCCCUG